ACAAACCAUGUCCUGAAGUCUCUGCCAUUCAGGAGUGCUGUGAAUGGCCAGGUUAGAUAAACUUGUGUGCCAUAAGGACUAGAAACUUUGAGGCGUUGGCAAACCUAGGGUGCGGUUAGCAUUUGGCGUUUGCAUUUUCCAGCUGACCUUUUGUGACAAAAUGCCUUCAAGACCAGGAUCCUGUCUGGAAAAUUACAGUGCCUGAAUGGAAGCCGUACAAUUACAUCUCCCGAACGCUGCAUAUUCAUUUCAACUGCUUUGCAUAGAGAUUAACGAGCACGCGCGCCCCCAACGCAGGCUCUGAAAUUAAAGCCAGCGCCGAUUUUAGUCACAGGUUACCAACUCAACGGCAUUGUUGGGAGGGCUCGGAAUCUUUUACCACCUGCAAUGUUGAGUGGCUUUAUCCUGGAUGAAUUUUGCUCCUUUUUUUUUUCUUUCCCAGUGCAAGAAAAGAUAAUGAAAUUAUGUGGACAUA